GUGCUUGCUUAGGCAGCACAUAUACUAAAAUUAGAAUAAUACACAGAAGAUUAGCAUGACCCCUAUGCAAGGAUAACACACAAAUUUGUAACAUAUUCCAUAUUUUC